rnacentral:rRNA from 1 species
CCUACGGGUGGCAGCAGUGGGGAAUAUUGCACAAUGGGGGAAACCCUGAUGCAGCGACGCCGCGUGAGUGAAGAAGUAAUUCGUUAUGUAAAGCUCUAUCAGCAGGGAAGAAAAUGACGGUACCUGAGUAAGAAGCCCCGGCUAACUACGUGCCAGCAGCCGCGGUAAUACGUAGUGGGCAAGCGUUAUCCGGAUUUACUGGGUGGAAAGGGAGCGUAGACGGCAGGGCAAGUCUGGAGUGAAAGGCGGGGACGCAACCCCCGGACUGCUCUGGAAACUGUACGGCUGGAGUGCAGGAGAGGUAAGUGGAAUUCCUAGUGUAGCGGUGAAAUGCGUAGAUAUUAGGAGGAACACCAGUGGCGAAGGCGGCUUACUGGACUGUAACUGACGUUGAGGCUCGAAAGCGUGGGGAGCAAACAGGAUUAGAUACCCCAGUAGUC